UAGUUCCGUAGUUUAGAGGCCAAUAAUACCGGACUUUGACUCCGGUGACACCAGUUCGAAUCUGGUCGGAACUAUCC
rnacentral:tRNA from 1 species